GACGAACGUUGGCGGCGUGCUUAACACAUGCAAGUCGAACGGAAAGGCCCUGCUUGCAGGGUGCUCGAGUGGCGAACGGGUGAGUAACACGUGGGUGAUCUGCCCCUUACUUUGGGAUAAGCCUGGGAAACUGGGUCUAAUACUGGAUAGGACCAUGCUGUAGGUGGUGUGGUGGAAAGAUUAGUUUCGGUAAGGGAUGAGCUCGCGGCCUAUCAGCUUGUUGGUGGGGUAAUGGCCUACCAAGGCGUCGACGGGUAGCCGGCCUGAGAGGGUGGACGGCCACAUUGGGACUGAGAUACGGCCCAGACUCCUACGGGAGGCAGCAGUGGGGAAUAUUGCACAAUGGGCGCAAGCCUGAUGCAGCGACGCCGCGUGGGGGAUGACGGCCUUCGGGUUGUAAACUCCUUUCAGCCAUGACGAAGCCCUUGUGGUGACGGUAGUGGUAGAAGAAGCACCGGCUAACUACGUG
rnacentral:rRNA from 1 species